UGGAAGUGGCGGUCAGAGCCUGAGUAUUACAUCAGGUACUGAGUACAAGCACGAAAUCAGGGCCUGCUGAAAUACUCGCUCUCUGUCAGCACUAAUCAACU
rnacentral:pre_miRNA from 1 species